rnacentral:lncRNA from 1 species
ACCUCCUCAUUAAGUAAGAUGAAAGUGAUAAUAUCCAUGGUAACAACACCAUCAGGUGCCGAAUUGCUCAAGAAAAUCAUCAAAGUCUUCUAGCUAUCCGACAAAGAGCUAAGAAGAAGAAGAGCUUGUAACUCAGCAUCAACAGUCAUCUUCAUAGUAGCAAGUUGAUUCACAAUCUUCUGCAUUUUUUUGAGGUGCUCGACAAUAGAAUUCUCCUCAACAUAUUUUAGAUUCACAAGCUUUCAAAUCAAAAAAGCUUUGUUGCCGGUAAUCUUCCUUUCAUACAUACUUUCAAGCUUCUUCCAUAAAGAUUCUACCGACAUCUCC